rnacentral:rRNA from 1 species
CAGCAGCCGCGGGAAUAUAGAGGGUGCAAGCGUUAAUCGGAAUUACUGGGCGUAAAGCGCGCGUAGGUGGUUCGCCAAGUUGGAUGUGAAAUCCCCGGGCUCAACCUGGGAACUGCAUCCAAAACUGGCGAGCUAGAGUAUGGUAGAGGGUGGUGGAAUUUCCUGUGUAGCGGUGAAAUGCGUAGAUAUAGGAAGGAACAUCAGUGGCGAAGGCGACCACCUGGACUGAUACUGACACUGAGGUGCGAAAGCGUGGGGAGCAAACAGGAUUAGAUACCCCCGUAGUCCCUGUCUCUUAUAA